AUUGAACGCUGGCGGCAGGCCUAACACAUGCAAGUCGAACGAGUGGCGGACGGGUGAGUAAUGUCUGGGAAACUGCCUGAUGGAGGGGGAUAACUACUGGAAACGGUAGCUACUACCGCAUACCAUCGGAUGUGCCGAGAUUGGAUUAGGUAGUGGGUGGGGUAAAGGCUCACCUAGGCGACGAUCCGUAACUGGGCUGAGAGGAUGAUCGGUCACACUGGAACUGAGACACGGUCCAGACUCCUACGGGAGGCAGCAGUGGGGAAUAUUGGGCAAUGGGCGAAAGCCUGAUCCGGCCAUGCCGCGUGUGUGAAGAAGGUCUUCGGAUUGUAAAGCACUUUAAGUUGGGAGGCGUUACCAACAGAAUAAGCACCGGCUAACUUCGUGCCAGCAGCCGCGGUAAUAC
rnacentral:rRNA from 1 species